GUGCCAGCAGCCGCGGUAAUUCCAGCUCCAAUAGCGUAUAUUAAAGUUGUUGUGGUUAAAAAGCUCGUAGUUGAACCUUGGGCCUGGCUGGCCGGUCCGCCUCACCGCGUGCACUGGUCCGGCCGGGCCUUUCCCUCUGUGGAACCCCAUACCCUUCACUGGGCGUGGCGGGGAAACAGGACAUUUACUUUGAAAAAAUUAGAGUGCUCCAGGCAGGCCUAUGCUCGAAUACAUUAGCAUGGAAUAAUAAAAUAGGACGCGCGGUUCUAUUUUGUUGGUUUAUAGGACCGCCGUAAUGAUUAAUAGGGACAGUCGGGGGCAUCAGUAUUCAACUGUCAGAGGUGAAAUUCUUGGAUCAGUUGAAGACUAACUACUGCGAAAGCAUUUGCCAAGGAUGUUUUCAUUAAUCAGGAACGAAAGUUAGGGGAUCGAAGACGAUCAGAUACCGUCGUAGUCUUAACCAUAAACUAUGCCGACUAGGGAUCGGACGGUGUUAUUCAUGACCCGUUCGGCACCUUACGAGAAAUCAAAGUGCUUGGGCUCCAGGGGGAGUAUGGUCGCAAGGCUGAAACUUAAAGAAAUUGACGGAAGGGCACCACCAGGGGUGGAGCCUGCGGCUUAAUUUGACUCAACACGGGGAAACUCACCAGGUCCAGACACAAUAAGGAUUGACAGAUUGAGAGCUCUUUCUUGAUUUUGUGGUGGUGUGCAUGGCCGUUCUUAGUUGGUGGGGUGACUUGUCUGCUUAAUUGCGAAUAACGAACGAAGACCUUAACCUGCUAAAUAGCCCGCAUGCUCGCAGUGCGCUGCUUCUUAAGAGGGACUUCGGCUCAAGCCGAAGGAAGUUUGAGGCAUA
rnacentral:rRNA from 1 species